GUUUUGUGAUGUAUAAAAACAGGCACCUUUUGGCUUAUUUUCUGGAUUUUGUACCUGAAGAAAUACCAAAGAAACCAUUGGCUGCCACUUCAUAAUCCAACCAUUGUGCUGUUCUUGGAAGAGGCCAAUUCUACUACCAGCAUUGCUGAAACAAUAGUCUGAACAGGCAUGUGCCUUAUUUAACAGUAGCUCCUAGUCAGGCCUGGAGCCAAGUAUCUGGACCUUAAGAAUAUUUUUAGUGCUGUUGGAAUGGAAAAAAUAAUUCUAGUUCACACCGACAGAUUGCUAGAGGAGCAACCUUUAUCAAUGUAUCAGCGAGCUUAUUAAGCUAACAGAACACUCCAUACACACCUCCAAACUGGCUAAGCAGAAAGGCUUUGAAUUUUUUGAAAGCACGUCUUCGGGUGAGAGAGCAUCCACAACUUUGCUUCAAUGCGCUUAAAACCCUCCCAGAACACCAGACUUGAA